rnacentral:rRNA from 1 species
CCUACGGGGGGCAGCAGUCGAGAAUCAUUCACAAUGGGGGAAACCCUGAUGGUGCGACGCCGCGUGGGGGAAUGAAGGUCUUCGGAUUGUAAACCCCUGUCAUGUGGGAGCAAAUUAAAAAGAUAGUACCCCAAGAGGAAGAGACGGCUAACUCUGUGCCAGCAGCCGCGGUAAUACAGAGGUCUCAAGCGUUGUUCGGAAUCACUGGGCGUAAAGCGUGCGUAGGCUGUUUCGUAAGUCGUGUGUGAAAGGCGCGGGCUCAACCCGCGGACGGCACAUGAUACUGCGAGACUAGAGUAAUGGAGGGGGAACCGGAAUUCUCGGUGUAGCAGUGAAAUGCGUAGAUAUCGAGAGGAACACUCGUGGCGAAGGCGGGUUCCUGGACAUUAACUGACGCUGAGGCACGAAGGCCAGGGGAGCGAAAGGGAUUAGAUACCCCAGUAGUC